rnacentral:rRNA from 1 species
CCUACGGGUGGCAGCAGUGAGGAAUAUUGGUCAAUGGGCGAGAGCCUGAACCAGCCAAGUCGCGUGAGGGAGUACUGCCCUAUGGGUUGUAAACCUCUUUUGUCGGGGAGCAAAAGCCGGACGUGUCCGGCUGUGAGAGUACCCGAAGAAAAAGCAUCGGCUAAAUCCGUGCCAGCAGCCGCGGUAAUACGGAGGAUGCGAGCGUUAUCCGGAUUUAUUGGGUUUAAAGGGUGCGCAGGCGGAUUUUUAAGUCAGCGGUAAAAUCGUGGGGCUCAACCCCAUCCAGCCGUUGAAACUGGGGAUCUAGAGUGUGCGAGAGGUAUGCGGAAUGCGUGGUGUAGCGGUGAAAUGCAUAGAUAUCACGCAGAACCCCGAUUGCGAAGGCAGCAUACCGGUGCACAACUGACGCUCAGGCACGAAAGCGUGGGUAUCGAACAGGAUUAGAUACCCUGGUAGUC